GGCUUCAUAUCUCAGUUGGUUAGGGCGUUGCACCGAUAUUGCAAGGUCACGGGUUCAAAUCCCAUUGAAGUCC